rfam:Mus musculus chromosome 5, GRC primary reference assembly.
UGGCUCAAUGGUUAAGAGCACUGACUGCUCUUCCAGAGGUCCUGGGUUCAAAUCCCAG